rnacentral:rRNA from 1 species
ACUAAGCGUACACGGUGGAUGCCCUGGCAGUCAGAGGCGAUGAAGGACGUGCUAAUCUGCGAUAAGCGCCGGUAAGGUGAUAUGAACCGUUAUAACCGGCGAUUUCCGAAUGGGGAAACCCAGUGUGAUUCGUCACACUAUCAUUAACUGAAUCCAUAGGUUAAUGAGGCGAACCGGGGGAACUGAAACAUCUAAGUACCCCGAGGAAAAGAAAUCAACCGAGAUUCCCCCAGUAGCGGCGAGCGAACGGGGAGGAGCCCAGAGCCUGAAUCAGCAUGUGUGUUAGUGGAAGCGUCUGGAAAGGCGCGCGAUACAGGGUGACAGCCCCGUACACAAAAGCGCAUGUGUUGUGAGCUCGAUGAGUAGGGCGGGACACGUGGUAUCCUGUCUGAAUAUGGGGGGACCAUCCUCCAAGGCUAAAUACUCCUGACUGACCGAUAGUGAACCAGUACCGUGAGGGAAAGGCGAAAAGAACCCCGGCGAGGGGAGUGAAAAAGAACCUGAAACCGUGUACGUACAAGCAGUGGGAGCNUGAGGGAAAGGCGAAAAGAACCCCGGCGAGGGGAGUGAAAAAGAACCUGAAACCGUGUACGUACAAGCAGUGGGAGCCCCACCACUAAGCCAGUGGUGAACUCCACAUACGCAUCCUUUGCUGAGGAUACGGUUAACGGAGCGCAAGCGACGUUCAACCGCAAAAGAAGCAGAGGGGGCUUAGUGGUGGGGUGACUGCGUACCUUUUGUAUAAUGGGUCAGCGACUUAUAUUCUGUAGCAAGGUUAACCGUAUAGGGGAGCCGGAGGGAAACCGAGUCUUAAUUGGGCGUUAAGUUGCAGGGUAUAGACCCGAAACCCGGUGAUCUAGCCAUGGGCAGGUUNAGGGAAACCGAGUCUUAACCGGGCGUUAAGUUGCAGGGUAUAGACCCGAAACCCGGUGAUCUAGCCAUGGGCAGGUUGAAGGUUGGGUAACACUAACUGGAGGACCGAACCGACUAAUGUUGAAAAAUUAGCGGAUGACCUGUGGCUGGGGGUGAAAGGCCAAUCAAACCGGGAGAUAGCUGGUUCUCCCCGAAAGCUAUUUAGGUAGCGCCUCGUGAAUUCAUCUCCGGGGGUAGAGCACUGUUUCGGCUAGGGGGCCAUCCCGGCUUACCAACCCGAUGCAAACUGCGAAUACCGGAGAAUGUUAUCACGGGAGACACACGGCGGGUGCUAACGUCCGUCGUGAAGAGGGAAACAACCCAGACCGCCAGCUAAGGUCCCAAAGUCAUGGUUAAGUGGGAAACGAUGUGGGAAGGCCCAGACAGCCAGGAUGUUGGCUUAGAAGCAGCCAUCAUUUAAAGAAAGCGUAAUAGCUCACUGGUCGAGUCGGCCUGCGCGGAAGAUGUAACGGGGCUAAACCAUGCACCGAAGCUGCGGCAGCGAACGUAUCACUUAAAGCGAUUCAGCGGGUUACGAUUGACGGAGCGAAGCGACGUCAAAGCGUAUACAAAGUCGAGUCGGUUUAAGGAUACGUUCGUUGGGUAGGGGAGCGUUCUGUAAGCCUGUGAAGGUGGCCUGUGAGGGUUGCUGGAGGUAUCAGAAGUGCGAAUGCUGUUGGGUAGGGGAGCGUUCUGUAAGCCUGUGAAGGUGGCCUGUGAGGGUUGCUGGAGGUAUCAGAAGUGCGAAUGCUGACAUAAGUAACGAUAAAGCGGGUGAAAAGCCCGCUCGCCGGAAGACCAAGGGUUCCUGUCCAACGUUAAUCGGGGCAGGGUGAGUCGACCCCUAAGGCGAGGCCGAAAGGCGUAGUCGAUGGGAAACGGGUUAAUAUUCCCGUACUUGGUGUUACUGCGAAGGGGGGACGGAGAAGGCUAUGUUGGCCGGGCGACGGUUGUCCCGGUUUAAGCGUGUAGGUGUGUGUUCCAGGUAAAUCCGGUUCACUUUAACACUGAGGCGUGAUGACGAGGCACUACGGUGCUGAAGCAACAAAUGCCCUGCUUCCAGGAAAAGCCUCUAAGCAUCAGGUAACAUCAAAUCGUACCCCAAACCGACACAGGUGGUCAGGUAGAGAAUACCAAGGCGCUUGAGAGAACUCGGGUGAAGGAACUAGGCAAAAUGGUGCCGUAACUUCGGGAGAAGGCACGCUGACAUGUAGGUGAAGUGAUUUACUCAUGGAGCUGAAGUCAGUCGAAGAUACCAGCUGGCUGCAACUGUUUAUUAAAAACACAGCACUGUGCAAACACGAAAGUGGACGUAUACGGUGUGACGCCUGCCCGGUGCCGGAAGGUUAAUUGAUGGGGUCAGCGCAAGCGAAGCUCCUGAUCGAAGCCCCGGUAAACGGCGGCCGUAACUAUAACGGUCCUAAGGUAGCGAAAUUCCUUGUCGGGUAAGUUCCGACCUGCACGAAUGGCGUAAUGAUGGCCAGGCUGUCUCCACCCGAGACUCAGUGAAAUUGAACUCGCUGUGAAGAUGCAGUGUACCCGCGGCAAGACGGAAAGACCCCGUGAACCUUUACUAUAGCUUGACACUGAACAUUGAGCCUUGAUGUGUAGGAUAGGUGGGAGGCUUUGAAGCGUGGACGCCAGUCUGCAUGGAGCCGGCCUUGAAAUACCACCCUUUAAUGUUUGAUGUUCUAACGUGGACCCGUGAUCCGGGUUGCGGACAGUGUCUGGUGGGUAGUUUGACUGGGGCGGUCUCCUCCUAAAGAGUAACGGAGGAGCACGAAGGUUGGCUAAUCCUGGUCGGACAUCAGGAGGUUAGUGCAAUGGCAUAAGCCAGCUUGACUGCGAGCGUGACGGCGCGAGCAGGUGCGAAAGCAGGUCAUAGUGAUCCGGUGGUUCUGAAUGGAAGGGCCAUCGCUCAACGGAUAAAAGGUACUCCGGGGAUAACAGGCUGAUACCGCCCAAGAGUUCAUAUCGACGGCGGUGUUUGGCACCUCGAUGUCGGCUCAUCACAUCCUGGGGCUGAAGUAGGUCCCAAGGGUAUGGCUGUUCGCCAUUUAAAGUGGUACGCGAGCUGGGUUUAGAACGUCGUGAGACAGUUCGGUCCCUAUCUGCCGUGGGCGCUGGAGAACUGAGGGGGGCUGCUCCUAGUACGAGAGGACCGGAGUGGACGCAUCACUGGUGUUCGGGUUGUCAUGCCAAUGGCACUGCCCGGUAGCUAAAUGCGGAAGAGAUAAGUGCUGAAAGCAUCUAAGCACGAAACUUGCCCCGAGAUGAGUUCUCCCUGAGACUUAAAGUCUCCUGAAGGAACGUUGAAGACGACGACGUUGAUAGGCCGGGUGUGUAAGCGCAGCGAUGCGUUGAGCUAACCGGUACUAAUGAACCGUGAGGCUUAACC